GAGGGUAUGGCUCAAGUGAUAGAGCGCAUGCUUAGCAUGCAUGAGGUCCUGGGUUCAAUCCCCAGUACCUCCU
rnacentral:tRNA from 1 species